rnacentral:rRNA from 1 species
GGAAUUGCUAGUAAUGGCAGGUCAGCAUACUGCCGUGAAUACGUUCCCGGGCCUUGUACACACCGCCCGUCACACCAUGAGAGUUGGGGAUACCCGAAGCCUGUGAGCCAACUAUAUAGAGGCAGCAGUCGAAGGUAGAAUCAAUGAUUGGGGUGAAGUCGUAACAAGGUAGC